UUGCAUUCCAAGACCGGUGGCGACGCCAUGUCCCAAAAGCGGCCAAGCUAAGAACUAAUAACCACUCAUAAGAUAUAAAGUACUAGAACUGAAACAAUGGUUCGUUAUUCUUUUAUAGAAUUGUGUAAAAACACAAGAUAUAAAGCAAAAGAAGCAACUGAUUCGAAAUGUGUAUCAUUAUAAUAUUUCCCAAGCAGUACUCAACUUUGAGAGCAAUGGGUGCAAGCUUUGAUCACUUCGAAUGGCCAGAAGGUGCUUUAAGUUUGCGAAAAAUGGUAUCGAAUCUUGACAAUAUCUUCUAAAAGAAUUAAGAAGAGCUUUACGGAACUUUUUGAAGAAGAUGUUGAAGAUGUGAAAACUAUUGAAGAUAUUCCUAUCGAAUUUAUUGAUUCAACAGCACACCAUGGUAUAUGACACAGGGUUUGUUGAAAUGCACACUGUAAAGAAACUUACCUGCUGCGCAUGCAUCAAACUCUUGAACAGAACUCUUCAAUAGAAGCAUAUUCAAUUUUGAUUCGUACAAAAAUCCUUGGUGGUUUGAGAUAUCCAAGAAAAGAUACUUAUUCGACUAUAACUGUUACAGAAGAAAUGUUUAACAUUUAUAGAAUUGAAAACAAAUUAAAAACAAGAAAUGUUUUUCAAAAAUUACCAUUUCUGUCAUGAGAAAUUUAAAUAUUGAAAGUUUAUUUCAAAAUUUGAAUGCCCACAUUAAAGACAAGGAUUUGUUAAACAACAUAAAUACGAAAUGCUUAAAACAAUUAUUGAAUUGUUCUUAAAAGUAAAAUUAUAUUAUAUGGGCAAAAAAAACACAAGAGAAUCUCAUUUAGAAUACAUAUGACAACACUUAACGAAAACAGUAUCACUUAGAGGACAAUAAUAAAGUAUUAUUUAUAAUAUUUUAUAAUAAAGUCUUAUUUAUAAUAUUUUAAAUAAUAUUUAAUAAUCAUUCUGUUAUCCUCUUCUAUUUUCAGGUAUACAUUUACGUACCGGAAAUAAUUGUGAGAGAAAGCAGGACAGAGAUCUAACAAUACGAGUUUAAGCGUACAGGAUGUGUCGUUUAUUGUACUCGCCGCAAAUGUCUCCGUUACUUUUGCUGAUAAAGGAAAGCUGAAGAAGGAAAACUUGUUUGAUGCAAAGAAAGAAACAUUGUACAGUUACUACUAGAGUAUUACACUUUUUCAUGAUGUAUAUUAUAUUUUUAACAGAAAAAAUUAUAGUAAAGAAGCAAAGAGUAAUAUUGAUAGAAAAAUAUUUACAUGAAUGAUAUCAAUAGUGAGGUAAUAAUUAAAUAUAUGAUUUCAAAUAGAGUCGUAUUCUAGUAAUUUAAUUAAUUUCAUUAUGUUGUUUCUAUUUACAUAAAUAUAUUUACAGAAAAUGUAGGUUUUGAUUAAAAAAAAACGUAAUCGAUUUUAUAAUUUUUAGAAAGCAUUACCUGUCAGAAAGAUUAUUUAACCACUACUAUAAUUUAUCUAUAAUUUGGUACUAUAAUUAUAAACUUAAAUAGUUCUCCAAUUUUAGUGAUUUUGUAUAUAUCGUUCUUGCUCUGUAUUAUUACAGUGCAUUUACAUGAUAUAAACACUUAAAUAAUUAUAAUGAAUUUAUCUAUUCGACAAACUAAAUGUUGUUUCCACUAUCUUCAAAUAUUUCUAGUGUAUUUUAUAGGUUUUUAGAAGAUGAACAAUUGAAGUUAUUAAAAGUUAAUUUAGGAGCAAUAUUAUCAUGUAUCGUUGAUAGUAAAAUCCUUCCUCAGAUAAAACUAGGUAUAUUUUAUAAAUUUUGAUGUAUGAAAUAGACAUCUGAAAUUAGAAUUUGUCUAUCGCAAUCAGUUUUUUCCAGAAAUUUGUUUUUCUAGAAAUAUUGCAUAUUUCAUCGAAAGCAGUCGUUUUCGUUUUGUAUCUGUUGUUGGACGAUGCCGCAACAGAAUAAAUUUAUUAUUUCCUGUCGUGGCUACCAUGAGUGACUGGUCAUUGUAUUCAACAGAACACGAUCUACAUUUAUGUAUAUUGAAAAGUAUACAAUGCUACUAAUUAAAAAGAAACCGAUGGUGACUUUCAAAUUCAACACCCUUGUAUAAAAAAAAGAAAGAAAGAAAUUAAAUUAAGUCUAAAUUUGUGUGUCCUCCUAAACGUGCUAAUUUUAGUUUAAAAAAUAUAAUUUUCUUGUAUUUUAUGUAAUAUAGUAAAGAUGUUUCAAAUACAAAAAUAGAAAGUAUUUUAUAGGGAACAAAGCAAAUUGCUUGAUUCGACUAAUACUUUUUUAUUAACCGAUUUCGAAAAGGAGGAGAUUACUGAAUUCGACACGUAUAUAUAUAUAUUUUUUUAUUGAGAUUUCGUUUGUUGAAGUAGUUUCAUAUCGAGAUUAAGCAGGUAAUAGUGUAAUGUUACUUUCCUGUUUUAUGUGCUAUUGCGCGCAAGGUAGUUUAUUUCAAAUUGAACAAAAAAAAAAAGAGGAACAAAUUUAGCCAAUCCUAUCCAAUAAUUGACAGCGGUUAUAUACUGGGUGUAGAAAUUAAUUCUGUAGUUUUAUUAAACAUUCAAUUAUUUAUAUUAUAUGUAGAAAUUGUUAUUGUACCUUCAUAUUCAAUCGUUUCUAACUCUAGUUUAGAUAGAAAUAUUUAUUCGUCGUUGUGUUAUUAUACACGGUGUCUCAAAAAUGUCGGAGGUGAUGUCGGAAAGAGAAAUAUAAUUUUCUUGGAUUUUAAUUUUCGAAAUUCCAAAAAUAUUGAAAGUCCUUGAAAGAAAAGGUUACUUUCAGCUUUCGUCCGGUAGGAAGAGAAAUAUAAUUUUCUUGGAUUUUAAUUUUCGAAAUUCCAAAAAUAUUGAAAGUCAUUUCUGGGACACCCUGUAUAAAGUCAAUUCCAUAAAUACUGAUAGGAAGACAUGUGUUUAAAUUAAAUAAUAGGUUUGAUAUACUGGAAUAAUAUUUUUUAUAAAUAUAUACAUGUAUACAAUAUACAGGGUGUCUUAAAAGUGUUGGAGGUCCUAGAAACGAGUGGUUCGAGUAUUUGCGAUUGUUCAACAUUGAAUCGAUAACAUAGGUACCAAUUAUUUAAUUAUCUACAAUUCUACAGGGUGUUCGAAAAAAGGUUGGAGGUCCAUGAAAGGGGAAAUUUGGGAGGUGAUUUGAAACAACUUUUUCCUUUGCGAAAAUGUCGUGCGAGGCUCCGUUACGGAGAUAUUAACAGAAAACCCCGGACCAAUCAGAGCGCGAACGUGCCGGCGGUGCACCCGCGGUAGGCGUAGACUGCGUGCUAGGCGGCCGCCCUCCGCCGGCAUACGCGCUCUGAUUGGUCCGGGGUUUUUCGUUAAUAUCUCCGUCACGGAGCCUCGGACAACAUUUUCGCUAAGGAAAAAGUUGUUUCAAAUCACCUCCACUAUGUAUAUACAGGGUGUUCUAAAAACGUUGUAACACCUUGAAAGAGAUGGUUCGGGAGGUGAUUUGAAACAACUUUUUCCUUAGCGAAAAUGUUGUUUGAAAUCACCUCCCGGGCUUUUCUGUUAAAGGACCCAUUUCAAGGACCUCUAACAUUUUGUUGGAGUAUGUGGGACACCUUGUAUAUUGAACUGCCAACUUUCUAGAUUCUCGACCUAGUCUCCAUUAGAAUGAUUACAACGUAUAUAUAUCUAUAUAUAUAGAAAGAUUGGAAGCCAUACAUUGUUGCUAAUUAUUAUUAUUCAAACGGAUUACAAGUCUGCUUAAUAAUCACAAUAAUUAUAAAGAAUGACAAUAAGAAUAAUGUCCGUCAGGUUGGGGACAUAGAAGGUUUGUACUUGUACCAAAAUUACGAAUAUUUAUAAAUUAACAAAUUAUUUACUCUUAAUAUUCUUCAUACUUAAUAAAUUAAGUAUAUACGUUUGAACUAAAGUCAUAGAUGGACCGCGAAUAUUUAUGCGUUUAUCACAAAUGUAAUUAAAAGAAAAUAUACGAUAUGUUUGGAAAAUGCAAAUGCACAAAUAUAUAAAAUAUUCACGUUACAACAUUCAAAAGACAAAGCAUACUUUAAUUAACGUUAUUAUUUUUCAUCUAUCCAUAAAAAAAUAUUAAUUCCCCGAAACAUCAACAGUAUAGUUACAAAUAAUUCAUUACAGAAGCCCAGAAUUAAUAAUUCUACACCUAAACGUACUGUUAACUUCACUACAUACUACUACAUAUACAAAUUAUAAUUUUACUACAUUCCGUUAUUCUAUAAUUCUCUCCUAAACAACUCUCCAAUCCUUUUCAACCGACUUCUAAA